rnacentral:rRNA from 1 species
AGAGUUUGAUCCUGGCUCAGAACGAACGCUGGCGGCGUGCCUAACACAUGCAAGUCGAAUGUGAAAGUCCUUCGGGAUGAGUAAAGUGGCGCACGGGUGAGUAAUGCGUAGAUAAUCUGCCUGGUGAUCUGGGAUAACAUCUCGAAAGGGGUGCUAAUACCGGAUAAGCCCACGGAGUCUUCGGACUUUGCGGGAAAAGGGGGGGACCUUCGGGCCUUCUGUCACCAGAUGAGUCUACGUACCAUUAGCUAGUUGGUGGGGUAAGAGCCCACCAAGGCUACGAUGGUUAGCUGGUCUGAGAGGAUGAUCAGCCACACUGGAACUGAGACACGGUCCAGACUCCUACGGGAGGCAGCAGUGGGGAAUUUUGCGCAAUGGGGGAAACCCUGACGCAGCAACGCCGCGUGAGUGAUAAAGGCCUUCGGGUC